AUCCAAGGGCAUCCCAAAGAAGUUCCACACUGAGGCACACUGGAUCUGUGCUAGUGUGGAGGGACAGCAGACCAGCAAUGGCCGAGUGUGGUGCUACAGGGAGCCUCACAGAGUCCCCCACAUUAUGGAAUAAGGCAACAAAUCAGCCAAGGAUCAUCAAGGUCUCCACAGCACAUGGGAGGUCACAGGGCACAGAGCUGGAUACUGAGGCAGUGCAAGGUUUGCAGUCAAAGAUAAUAGAAUGCUCCCAAAGCCCAAGCACGACAGCUCUCGGACAUAGCAGGACUAUAGAUUAACUGUAAACCUCCUAUUCAAAUUCCUCAAGAGAAGAACCUGACGCCAUCAACCAGUCACCAUCCAUGUGGUACACCCAAGUAAACUUUGGCUCUUGAACUCAAAUCA